GAGGAAUGUAUAGCAAUAGCUACUUGCAUCAUUGUAGAUAUGAUGCAAGAUCGACUAUGUUGAAUAAAAUUCUAGGUAGAAUUAUGAUAAUGACAUUGUCUGCCUAUGUGUCUUGACCAAAUUACGUGCCAGCAGUCGCGGUAAUACGUAGAAGACUAGUGUUAUUCAUGUUUAAUCGGUUUAAAGGGUACCUAGACGGUAGAUCAAGCUUUCUAAUAAGUGAAAAGGACUAAUUUACUAGAGUUACUUAUGAGGGGGUAUUAAAGUACUGCUGGUGUAGAGAUGAAAUUCUGUCAUACCUCUUUUCAAAAGAAAAACCAUGGCACAGGUAUAGGCGAAGGCAUCCCCUUAUGUGAUAACUGACGUUGAGGGACGAAGGCUUUGUGUAGCGAACAGGAUUAGAUACCCUAGUAGUCGAAGCAGAAAAUGAUGAAUGUCAUAGAUUAGAUGUAUAAGUUUAUUCUAUAAAUGAAAGUGUAAGCAUUCCACCUCAUGAGUAAUUUGGCAACAUUGGAACUGAAAUCAUUAGACCGUUUCUGAAACCAG
rnacentral:rRNA from 1 species